AGGUGCACAGUCACAUCUCACAGAGGGCCAGGACCUGGGCUCUGGGUUUGACUAGGAAAGAAGGAAGAAGAUUCUGCAAGUCCACCCCAGGUCUCAGGGAGUAAGUCUCCAGAUGCCCAGAGAGCACAGGCGUUUGUGCCCUGCAGCAGAACCGGGGUGUGGCUGCUCUCUUCAGUCCACUCCGUGGAGGCGUCGACCCGCCUCCACGGCGCAGGCGGAGCUGGGAGGUGAGCACGGGGAUCCCGGGAGACCACACCGCAUGACUGGCCAGGUGCCCACUGCGUCCUGGAGAGAGGGGUGUGCCCUGCCAGGCUGACAUGUCUCACUCUGGCCACUUUCUGGAAAAUUGUGAACAGACUUAACACCACGUGGCAUUGAAGGACUUGCGUGACAUUUUACAAAGUACACAAUAUGCUACUGCACACGCUGCCCACACCUAAGGAGGCCUGGACUCAUGCAGCUUUGCAGAACGGCUCUGACCCCCCACCUGCCAUCGCAGCUGAGGGACUGUGAAGUCUCUCCGUGGCUAAAGAUUCCAAUUCACAUCACUCAUCAAGCCAAUAAAGGGCUAAAGAAAUUGCUUCAGAAAAUAGACUUACACAUAAAAUGCGCUUUUGUUUUUCUCCGCAGGACCAGAAUGAAAAUACAGUCAAUUUUUGUGA